rnacentral:tRNA from 2 species
UAGGAAGUAGUAUAGUUGGAAGUACCAAGAGUUUUGAUCUCUAAGGCAUAGGUUCAAAUCCUAUCUUUCUAG